UACGUAGGUGGCAAGCGUUGUCCGGAUUUACUGGGCGUAAAGAGCGCGCAGGCGGUUGUUUAAGUCGAAUGUGAAAGCCCCCGGCUCAACUGGGGAGGGUCAUUCGAUACUGAUCGACUUGAAGGCAGGAGAGGGAAGUGGAAUUCCGGGGUGUAGUGGUGAAAUGCGUAGAUAUCCGGAGGAACACCAGUGGCGAAGGCGAACUUCCUGGCCUGUUCUUGACUGC
rnacentral:rRNA from 1 species